rnacentral:rRNA from 1 species
UAGGGAAUAUUGCGCAAUGGGCGAAAGCCUGACGCAGCGACGCCGCGUGAGUGAUGAAGGCCUUAGGGUCGUAAAGCUCUGUUGAACGGGAAGAAAAAAAUGACGGUACCGUUCGAGAAAGGACCGGCUAACUUCGUGCCAGCAGCCGCGGUAAGACGAGGGGUCCUAGCGUUGUUCGGAAUCAUUGGGCGUAAAGCGUGUGUAGGUGGCUUUUCAAGUCAGGUGUGAAAGCCCCGGGCUCAACCCGGGAAGUGCAUUUGAUACUGCUAAGCUUGAGUACCGAAGAGGGUAGUGGAAUUCCAGGUGUAGUGGUGAAAUACGUAGAUAUCUGGAGGAACACCGGUGGCGAAGGCGGCUACCUGGUCGAGUACUGACACUGAGACACGAAAGCGUGGGGAUC